CCCUUAGAUGUUCUGGGCCGCACGCGCGCUACACUGAUGCAUUCAACGAGCCUAUCCUUGACCGACAGGUCCGGGUAAUCUUUGAAUCUGCAUCGUGACGGGGAUAGAUUAUUGCAAUUAUUAAUCUUCAACGAGGAAUGCCUAGUAGGCGCAAGUCAUCAGCUUGCGUCGAUUACGUCCCUGCCCUUUGUACACACCGUCCGUCGCUCCUACCGAUUGGGUGUGCUGGUGAAAUGUUCGGAUCGGCCGUUUGUCGCGGUUUCCGCGGCUCGUGGCUGAGAAGUUCAUUAAACCCUCCCACCUAGAGGAAGGAGAAGUCGUAACA
rnacentral:rRNA from 1 species